rnacentral:rRNA from 1 species
AUUUUUGAUGGACCCCAGGGCUAAUUUUUAAGGUUCACACCCGUCGAACGAUGAAGCCCAGCUUGCUGGGUUUUAUUAGUGGCGAACGGGUGAGUAACACGUGAGUAACCUGCCCUUAACUCUGGGAUAAGCCUGGGAAACUGGGUCUAAUACCGGAUAGGAGCGUCCACCGCAUGGUGGGUGUUGGAAAGAUUUAUCGGUUUUGGAUGGACUCGCGGCCUAUCAGCUUGUUGGUGAGGUAAUGGCUCACCAAGGCGACGACGGGUAGCCGGCCUGAGAGGGUUGACCGGCCACACUGGGAACUGAGACACGGCCCCGACCUCCUACGGGAGGCUAUCAGU